ensembl:lncRNA
CGCCCCCGGCCCUCCCCCGGAGAGCCCGGCGGUGCGCGGCCCCGCCCCCGGGGCGGGCAGGCUCUGCCACGGACGGAGUAUCAACUACCAGGGAGGAAAAAAAAAUCUGAAGUUGGAAGGAGGACACUCAGAGGAGAGACUGCUGCGUGCCUACCUAGCUGCACAGACUCGGAUAGAAGCGUGUCCACGUCUACAGCUCACAACUGUGCAAAUCCGGAGCCUGCGGAUGCGCGGGGAUGGUCGGACUUAACAGUGUGCAGACACAUGGGCGCAUGCACGCGCGCGCGCGUACACAAUCACACCCCAAAUUACCUCCGGGAUGGAGAAAGCCGCUGCGGAUUGGCCAGGAGAGCCGUCACUCACACCCAGGGGGCAGGAAGAUUUUGCAAGGCUGUUUCCUUUUUUUCCCCCCUCCCUACCGUUUCAUUUAUUGGUAAAACAACAGCAAAGCUCUGAAAGUUAG